UACAGAGGUCCCGAGCGUUGUUCGGAUUCACUGGGCGUAAAGGGUGCGUAGGUGGCGAGGUAAGUCGGAUGUGAAAUCUCCAAGCUCAACUUGGAAAUGGCAUUGGAAACUACCUGGCUAGAGGUUUUGAGGGGGGACUGGAAUUCUCGGUGUAGCAGUGAAAUGCGUAGAUAUCGAGAGGAACACCGAAGGCGAAGGCAGUGUCCUGGCGAGUGACUGACGCUGAGGUGCGAAAGCCAGGGGAGCGAACGGG
rnacentral:rRNA from 1 species